rnacentral:tRNA from 1 species
CUCAGUUUAGCAAAAUUAAUGCAUUGGUUUUAGAAGCCAAAGAUACCCAGGUAACUGAGA